UCCCUGGUGGCUGAGAUGGUAAAGAAUCUGUCUGCAAUGCAGGAGAGCCAGGUUCAAUCCCUGGGUUGAGAA
rnacentral:tRNA from 1 species